rnacentral:rRNA from 1 species
UGCAGUCGACGAUGAACCACUUCGGUGGGGAUUAGUGGCGAACGGGUGAGUAACACGUGGGCAAUCUGCCCUGCACUCUGGGACAAGCCCUGGAAACGGGGUCUAAUACCGGAUACUGAACCUUGCAGGCAUCUGUGAGGGUCGAAAGCUCCGGCGGUGCAGGAUGAGCCCGCGGCCUAUCAGCUAGUUGGUGAGGUAAUGGCUCACCAAGGCGACGACGGGUAGCCGGCCUGAGAGGGCGACCGGCCACACUGGGACUGAGACACGGCCCACACUCCUACGGGAGGCAGCAGUGGGGAAUAUUGCACAAUGGGCGAAAGCCUGAUGCACCGACGCCGCGUGAGGGAUGACGGCCUUCGGGUUGUAAACCUCUUUCAUCAGGGAAGAAGCGAAAGUGACGGUACCUGCAGAAGAAGCGCCGGCUAACUACGUGCCAGCAGCCGCGGUAAUACGUAGGGCGCAAGCGUUGUCCGGAAUUAUUGGGCGUAAAGAGCUCGUAGGCGGCUUGUCGCGUCGGUUGUGAAAGCCCGGGGCUUAACCCCGGGUCUGCAGUCGAUACGGGCAGGCUAGAGUUCGGUAGGGGAGAUCGGAAUUCCUGGUGUAGCGGUGAAAUGCGCAGAUAUCAGGAGGAACACCGGUGGCGAAGGCGGAUCUCUGGGCCGAUACUGACGCUGAGGAGCGAAAGCGUGGGGAGCGAACAGGAUUAGAUACCCUGGUAGUCCACGCCGUAAACGGUGGGCACUACGUGUGGGCAACAUUCCACGUUGUCCGUGCCGCAUCUA